rnacentral:lncRNA from 1 species
UCAGUGCUUAUUAUUGACCUCCAGGGGACCCACAACCAAUGUUCCCUCCAAAAAAAAUUGGGCACUGAGCAAAUUUCAGGUCUGCUGAGUGUAAACUUGAACGUUGUGAAAAUUCUGUGCAACUUCCAGCACGUGUUUACUGUGAACACCGAGGCUGUAUCCGCUUUAAGUUACAGUUUUACUGUGAACACUGAGGCUGUAUCCGCUUUAAGUUACAGUUUUACUGUGAACACUGAGGCUGUAUCCGCUUUAAGUUACAGUUUUACUGUGAACACCGAGGCUGUAUCCGCUUUAAGUUACAGUUUUACUGUGAACAGUGAGGCUGUAUCCGCUUUAAGUUACAGUUUUACUGUGAACACUGAGGCUGUAUCCGCUUUAAGUUACAGUUUUACUGUGAACACCGAGGCUGUAUCCGCUUUAAGUUACAGUUUUACUGUGAACACUGAGGCUGUAUCCGCUUUAAGUUACAGUUUUACUGUGAACACUGAAGCUGUAUCCGCUUUAAGUUACAGUUUUACUGUGAACACUGAGGCUGUAUCCGCUUUAAGUUACAGUUUUACUGUGAACACUGAAGCUGUAUCCGCUUUAAGUUACAGUUUUACUGUGAACACUGAGGCUGUAUCCGCUUUAAGUUACAGUUUUACUGUGAACACUGAGGCUGUAUCCGCUUUAAGUUACAGUUUUACUGUGAACACUGAGGCUGUAUCCGCUUUAAGUUACAGUUUUACUGUGAACACCGAGGCUGUAUCCGCUUUAAGUUACAGUUUUACUGUGAACAGUGAGGCUGUAUCCGCUUUAAGUUACAGUUUUACUGUGAACACUGAGGCUGUAUCCGCUUUAAGUUACAGUUUUACUGUGAACACCGAGGCUGUAUCCGCUUUAAGUUACAGUUUUACUGUGAACACUGAGGCUGUAUCCGCUUUAAGUUACAGUUUUACUGUGAACACUGAAGCUGUAUCCGCUUUAAGUUACAGUUUUACUGUGAACACUGAGGCUGUAUCCGCUUUAAGUUACAGCUUUAACAGUGGCCAUGUAGGCUACUGUGGCUAUUUGAUCAUAAUGUAG